rnacentral:lncRNA from 1 species
CUCAAGUCUUAGUUGGUUUGAGAGCCAGGGAUAUGGAUCCAGGGUGCUGUUGCAGGGAGACCAGGUAAUGAGUGGCUGCAAGGAGUCAUAUAGCCUGGGUGUGGGUGAGGGUCUGCCUGCCUGUUUCUGUCUGGGUGUCUGAGUUCCAAAAAAUGUGUGUUGUUUGUUCCUCCUCAUCCUCUUCUGAGACUGUUGUUUUUUUAGAGCUUGAUUGUGGGAGAAAAGCUCGUGUGAAAUUCCCUCUUCACCUCCCCACCCCCCCAAAAAUAAAAGGGGGCAUAAACUUUAUUCCACUGGAGAAGCCCUGGGGGUGGCUGGAGCCAGCCUGCUGAGAAGCAUGGUGCAGCUGGGUCUGGGACUUCACUAGAGCUUACUCUGGAGCACCUAUUUUCUGUGCACAUGGGAGUGCUCCACUCCCUAGCAGAGCAGAGGGAAGUCUCUGCCAGGUACCCACGCCACAGGCCUCAGGAUGGCUUUUUGUCUGAGGGCCUCAUUAGGCCCAGACUGCUGCUGGUGGUACCAGUCUCCUGAGACACUGCCUCCCUGGAGCCCAUGCAUGCCCAGCUGUUCUUACUGCUUAGUAGCCUUGAAGCAGCACAUCUCCGCUGUCCCUGGCAGGAUUGUGGGAGGCUUCACAACCCCUGCUUUCCUCACUUCCUCUUCUGCCCAACACUGGGUGCCCCUUCCCAGUUUCCCAGCAGGGGCUUCAUGGGCCACCGUCAGUGGGUCUGGGCCUGCCAGAGUCGUCUUGCUCUUCCUCUUGCUUCUAGGCAACCACACUUGGCAAGUUAAAUGUCCCAAGCACCUUGUCUCCCUUCCCAAGAACAAACCAUUUCUGUGCACAUCCUUGGAGGCGAGGUGAGCUCCUUGCAGAGGGCCAGAGUAAGUGCAAGUCAUGGAGUGCAGGCAGAGGGGUCCAUGGCUUCCCCAGCCCAGGGAGGGUAUCAGUAUCAUUCAUUCUCUCUCCCCUCACUGGUAUGGGUUCAGAGCAAUGCCUAGGGCCCCUCUCUGCUCCCCUGCCUAGUGGGGUGGUAGUGGCUACCUCUCAGCCCCAGUAGUCCCUGCUCCUCUUAGAAUCUUCACCAAGUGGCAGGCCACCUCUGGGCAGGACCACCUGCGUCUGGCACCCAGGAGGUGAGGCAGACACCAUGGUUAGGUGAUAGGGUCUGAACCCAGUUGGGGAGACAGAGGGGUUCAGACUUGGGAAGAAUCUGUCAGUGUGCAUGGAGUGAGGUGUGUGUGUGUGGAUGGAUGUGCACGUGUGCAUGCCUUUUUUCUUUUUGCCAUGAGGACAGUUGAAUUUGGGGCAUUUUUCUACAAGAAGCAGUCAGCCUUCUCUCCCCCAUAAGGACUGGCUGUAACCUUAAGCCCAUCAAAGUUACUUCCAGCCUGGAGAGAACCUCACCAAACAGCUGGUGUGGCCUGAGGGUGGCCAUGGUGGGAAAUGGGCAUGAGAAUAAAUACCUCCCCAAAUUCAAUCUGAGCCCAGCAGGAGAGGAUGGUAGGGUUGCCAGGGCUCAGAAGUGCAAGCUGAUUACUCACCCCACCCCGCCUCGCCGCACCUUUCCUUUGUUUCCUUGGGUGAAUGCAGGAGCAGCAGUGGCUGCCCUUCCCACCUGGACAGUGGUGUGUGUAGAAAGCCAGCUGGAUGUUUGUGGUGGGGCCUCAUGGUGCCUAGGAGGAGAUAAAGAUGAGGAGGUUUUUCCUUAUUGUAUAAAUGAAUAUUUGUAUGAUUAAAUUAACACACACA